UUAUUAUUAUUAUUAUUAUUAUUAAGCAAAUAUUUAAUUUAUUGUUUAUUAAAUAAUUGUUUAUCAAUUGAAAUGUUGAAGAAAAAAAAGACAAAAAAGUUUUUUUCUUUAAAAUUUUUUAAGUUUGUAAAAAUACAUUUUUGCAGAAACUGUCGUGAUUGCACUUCCUUAAAGACAUUAAAUAUUUUGAUAAAAACAAAAAUAUUUUUCAUAAAAUAAUAUUAAUAGUAUUUUUUUCAUGAAAUAUUUUAUUUAAAGUAUUUUUUUCCCUAAAAAAAAAAAAUUUGCCAUUAAAUCUUUGAAAUGUCAGUCUUUGAGAACUGUUUUUUUUUAUUAUAUUUUAUAAAUAAAAAAAUAUUAUCAUCAAAUUGAUAGAUAAAAAAAAACCAGCAGAUAUUUUUCCUUACAAUUCUGACCAGAUAAUUGUGAGCUGCCUAUAUCAAAUAUAACACAUGUCUAACUAAUUUAUUAUUAUUAUUAUUAUUAUUAUUAUUAUUUAUACGAUUAUCGAAAAAAUAAUCUGUGAAGUAAAAUCAAUUUUGAACGAUUUAAACUGACUUUGGUGAAUAGUGUUUCUUGAGUUGGUAUGUCUAGCUCCUCUCAUUAGGGGAAUUAAAAUACUUGGAUUCUGAGCUUGUCUCAAGAAUGGAUGCUUCAAUAAUUCAGUUGCUGUGGCUCGUUGAGCAGGAUCUCGAACUAACAUUCUCUCUAGGAAGCCCUGCAGACGUGGACUCACCUAAAAAAAAAUAUAUUAUUAUUUUAUUUAAUUCUGUAAAAAUAUUUUUUCAAUCUCCUUAUUUGAUAAUAUUUAGUCAAUUUUUCCCAGACAUUUAUAAAUUUAUAUAAAUAUAUUUUUCACAUUUAA